CAUAAAUUGUUAUUUGUAAUAUUUUUUAGAUUAUAUGGCAAGUGAUGUUAAAUAUCUUUAGACUUACUUUAAAUUUUUAGAUCUAAUUUAAAUAAUUAAAAAUUAAAAGCAAUUGACCAAUCAAAUUAUAACAAUUAUUUGAAACUUCACCUAUGAGCGACACGUCACCAGAAAUCACUAAAGUGACUUCUCAUUUAAUAUAUAAGGAUGAUCUUUAUCUCCGAACGGAAUACCUAGUUUUAGGAUAUAAGGAAAGUAAAAAUAACCAGCCGAUCUAAUUUCAGUUCUUUUGGAUCAUCUUGUAACAUAUAAGGUUAUUGUUGAGAAAAUAGUAAAUGCUAAAAUUGGUAGCUAGUCUUAACCCACAUAUUUAAUCAUUCAACGUUACAUAUAUGUGGUUGUCAUUAGUAUCAAAAACUAACCAGUCAAUUAUAAACAGUUUUUCGGAUCAUCCUGAUAAUAGUUUUCAAAGAAUUAUAUAUAUGUAUAUGUUCCACCUUUAAGGGUUUCUAUAAUAAACACACAAAACAUUUAUUUGCAGAGAAGAUUUACAAUGUCAUCAUCUAAAUUUGCUAUAUUUUGUAUUGUCCUCUUUUUUUUUACUCGUUUUCAUGAAUGUGCCAACCUGGAAAAAGCUUCCAAACCGACAUGCUCUAAUCCACAUCUUCUUUGGUGCUGCAGCUCAAAUAAACAAUGCCGAAGUUCCAAAUUGGAAUGUAAGAAGGUCUGUAUCAAGGGCCGUUGAAUUAUUCUGAAGAGAAUUUCUAAAAUUAUAUAAUUUAAAUAUUUCGAAGCAUUAUGUUCUAAAUAUUUUGGUAUUUCUUCGAAGAGCUCAAUAUAUAUAGUUCUUUUGCCUUUUUAUGAAAUUCUUAUAUAGUAUUUAGGAAGUUUAAAAUUUUAUAGAAAAAAUAAUACAACUAUUUUAGACUUUUUAACUGUAUUUAAAGAUGUACAGGCUCGGUUUAUUGAAUAAAUUCAUAAUAAUAUAUAUAACGGAAAUACAAAAGAGAGUUUGUUAAUUAAUAGUAGAUAAAUUAAUGAGAUUUUGUCAAAUAUGACUCAAAAUUUGAAAUCAAACACAAAAAUGACUUGCUUUUCUAAAACUUUUAUUUGCCAUAUUCACCCUAAAAGUUCAAAUUAUAUACGGAAAUACCAUUAUUUUUUUUCUUUUUUUUUUUUGAAAAUGAGUGUUUUACUCAUUCAUCCUCAUCUUCCUCAUUUAUUUUAUAACAUUGCCAUUGUCAUCAAAACACCAACCACCAUGAACAACAAAUUCCAAGCUCUAAAUGCACCUAAAAUCAACAUAUACAUCUUCAUAUCCUCAUUUUUUACACAUACACUAUUUUCCUUUCAAUUUAUCUCUUAUUUCAUUCAAAUCCUAAUACAUGAUAAGACUUUUGAAGACUUCUCGAAGACUUCUCUUUAGGUUGGGAACCUAAAUUCUAGUACAUGAUAACACAUAAACUAUUUUCCUUUCACUUUAUCUUUUAUUUCAUCCAAAUAUCCUAAUACAUGAUAAGACUUUUGGACGACUUCUCGAAGACUUCUAGAAGACUUCGAUAUAGGCGGAAAA